GAGCUCUGGGUCUCUCCGAUGAUCCUUGAGGUUCACCAAUGAAGGGCAAAGUCUCCUGAGCAAAGUGGAGGCCUAUAGGCCUUUCCCCAUGGACUCCCCACAUUUUUGCUCCCCAGAGUCUCUUUUUGAAGGCAUCCUGAAAGCGUGGACUAGGGCAGCACCUCACUAUCCAGCCCACAAGGCCUAGUUUCUGCCAGGCCAUUUGUGAUCCUUUAUUUUCCUGCUCUAAUCCCUUCUUGUUGACAGGACACAACCUCCAUGCAGCCCUCGGUCUUCACAACCUAAACAGGGUUAGGCUUGGGACAUAUGUGGAUGGCAGACCUUCCAGGACAAGCACCUCCUGCAGACAGUGCCACUGGUUAUUCAGUAGCUGAUGAUCCCUGUGAGUCAAUACUGACCGUGGGCUCAGGCAAGAUGAUGAGGGUUGUUCUCUUCUGGAUAUGAUGAAACCAAGGUCCUGGCCGGCCACCCAUCCUGAAAGGUGGGACUUUCAAAUACAAAACCAGGAUCAUAUCGCUUUUGACGGGACCGGUUUGUGUGGCCAAGAUUGGAAUGUCUGGCUAAAGCCAGAGAGGAAGAGAGACCCCCAGAACAACCAUAUGUCUAGUGACUAGUAAGUCUCUGGAGUUUCUCUAAAGGUCUCAGUUUCGGCCUGAUGCCAAAUGGAACCAUUUUCAAAACGUUCAUGGGAUGGGAAAACCAUUUGCUGGACAGCUCUGUGCCUGACCAUGUGCUGCGGGACAGCUCAGGGCUCUGCAGCCUGGCUCCUGGAGAGGGAACAGCAGGUUUCAGUCCAGUGGGCAGCACAGGAAACUCUGUCUGGGAUUCAGCCGCUUUGUGCAGCGUGGGAACAGCAAGGCAGAUGGAGCCACCUCCAACCAGGAUUUCCA